CUACAUGAAUAGAAUGAGGAAGAAUGAGAAUCAUGCUAAUCAGUAUACACUAACAUCUUGUUUAAGGUUUAUAUGAACUCUCCAGUACCCUAAACGCUAACAUUAAAUGUAUGAAGAAACUUUUCUUUCCCCUCCUCCUCUCUCUCUAUGAUUUAGCUGUAAUAUGCAGCAGAGAAAGGGUUAACAAGAACAGUGACGUCAUUGGCAAG